rnacentral:rRNA from 1 species
UGAGGAAUAUUGGUCAAUGGGCGGGAGCCUGAACCAGCCAAGUCGCGUGAAGGAAGAAGGAUCUAUGGUUCGUAAACUUCUUUUGCAGGGGAAUAAAGUGCAGGACGUGUCCUGUUUUGUAUGUACCCUGAGAAUAAGGAUCGGCUAACUCCGUGCCAGCAGCCGCGGUAAUACGGAGGAUCCGAGCGUUAUCCGGAUUUAUUGGGUUUAAAGGGUGCGUAGGUGGUUUGAUAAGUCAGCGGUGAAAGUUUGCAGCUUAACUGUAAAAAUGCCGUUGAAACUGUCGGACUUGAGUGUAAAUGAGGUAGGCGGAAUGCGUGGUGGAGCGGUGAAAUGCAUAGAUAUCACGCAGAACUCCGAGUGCGAAGGCAGCUUACUAAGCUACAACUGACACUGAAGCACGAAAGCGUGGGGAUCAAACA